rnacentral:rRNA from 1 species
CGUAGGACUUUAAUCGUUGAACAAACGAACCGUUAGUGGCGGCUUCACCACAUGGGUGUCCUGAUCCAACAUCGAGGUCGUAAGCCUCCCUGGCGAUAUGGACUCUUGAGGGGGAUGGCGCUGUUAUCCCUGGGGUAACUUGGUCCGUUGAUCAGUGUUACUGGAUCUGCUGGGGGGGGUCAGUAGGCUUGUAGGCCUGUUGGCGGGGUUGUUAAUCCGAUUUCAUGGAGGUUUUGUUUGUCUCCGUAGUCGCCCCAACUUAAAGUUUAGGCUAGUGUGGGAUUAAUAUUAUGUCCGUGUUGGGUUGAUAUGGUCCCAUGUAGUGGUAGGUUUAAAGUUCCACAGGGUCUUCUCGUCUUGUGGGUUUAUCUCAGCUUUUGUACUGAGAGAUCAGUUUCAUUGAUUUGCUGGGGAAGACAGUGAAGUCCUCAGUUGGCCGUUCAUACUAGUCCUCAUUUAGGGGACAAGUGAUUACGCUACCUUUGCACGGUUAUGAUACCGCGGCCGUUAAAU